CUGUUAGUUAAUGGCUUACUUGCAGAUAUUAUUUUCCUGACAUGGAACAUUCAUUCAUAUGUAGAAAGAAGGAAGUAUUUUUGUGUAUCACUGCAUAGCCAACACAGCCAGAGAAACAACAGGACAGCUCCUAGGAGCUCCUCUUAGUGACCUUUAAACAAUACUGAUGUAGAGUCUAUAUAAUCCAAAUAUGUGAUUUUCACUUCAAAGUAGAACCAAAAUUAAAUUAAUAGAGAGAACACCAUGGACAUUGAAGCAACCUACUCUGAGAUUUUCAAUAUAGACUUCAGGCUGUCUCCUUUAGUGGAAUCUUUUCUUUAGUUCAACAUGACUCCUUGCAUUUCUAUGCUGUCAGAACAUAGGAGCACAACAAAACAACGUGAGAAAGCUAUACCGGGUCAUACAAAAUCUUCCACAGAUAUCUGACAUUCUGCCUCUGACUAGAGCCAGAAGCAAAUGCCUGUGGUUGUGAACGUAUGAUGUGGAAGAGAGAUGAUCUUGUUUCUUCUCUUUCCUUAUCUUCUGCAAGUAAAAAAUGUCUGUGUGGAAUGGCUUUCUUUUGGAAAAUGUGAUUUGACAGAAUUGAGACACAGCAUGCUGAUGUGUUGAUUUAGUAGAAGAUUAGAGUGGAGAAUAAGCAGGAAGGCUUGCAGCCUAUGCUACAGUCCCGUGGCUGCCCAGACAGAACCAAGAUGCAUAAAAGAUGAGCUAAAACUAUCUAAAUUAGCCUGAAGCAGAAUGCACAAGCUUUUGUCUUGCAAAAGAAACUGAACACUUUGAUCUUUUAUCUUGAAGUAGGCUAUUUUUCUCCAAAAGUUUUAAAGGGGUAUAAAAUGGUGUUCUAUACAGCUUUGGUCUUCUGCUUCUGUUAUCUUGAAUAGAUGAUACAUAUUGAUCUGCUUUCUCCUUUCACCUUUGCUUGGUGCCAGUGCUCCUCUUUCACCCUAAAGCUUGUGUUCUGUGAAGUAACAGCGAUCUUCAUAUACACACUUACAAAGAAAUAUUUAAUUUCAAGGUUAGUCUUCUGUUUUUCUUUUAUAUACUCAUGCAAGUGAUAAAUGAAUAUGCUGAACACUGGCUGUUGACUAACUGGAGAAUUACAGGUAAAAGCCCUUAUACUUGAGAAUAAAGUAGGUGAGACAGCAGGAGCUGUAUCUACUGACAAAGAGAAGCAGAGGUAAAUGCUCAAAGAGAUUUGUCUAGAAGAUGAAUCAUAGAGCAUGGAUUGGAAAGAGGAGCAGCAGCAGAAAUAUUCAGUACUCGGAAAAUAUCUAGAGGUGACAUUAGAAAUAAUCAGAGAAGCACAUAGCCAUGUAGCUAAACAAGGAAGCAAUGGGGAACUGGAAGAUAGGUAGGAGUAAAACAGGGGAGGGAGGUGCCUGGGGAUAGGUAAGUGGAAGAUGGGAACAUCCAGGUCAUUUUGGGAGCAGUAGGUAGCCAAGAUUAUGAAUAGCAGGCUGAGUUACUGGGGAAUAUGAAUAAGGGUCUUUUGACAAAACAUUGUACUUGGCAGCAUUAUGCGUUUAGGAACUUAUGUUUUUACAAGCUCUGGAAGUGUCAGAUCAGCAUUUGAAGACAAAAGAAUUACAGGUUACAUAAUGUAGUGAUAAUAUGUGUACAAAUUAUGUGUAAUGGCAUCUGCUGCUACUGUUCCAGAUCAAGGCCUCUGAUAUUUGCUGUUUAUUAGAAAAGAUUUAAAUUGUGACCCAAAUAUACACUGUUAAAAAUGCACAUGGCAAAUAAAAUAGCCUGCAACUGUUCAUUUUAAAUCUUAGAUUUUCAUGAUCAGUUCUUUGUGGGCUGGAGUGUGAUCUGUUAACAAUUGACAGUUAAGUGUUGUAACUGGGGGCAAAAAAUGGUGAACAGAAUUUCAUUACUGUGAAAUGAUAGAAACGAAUAGCUUGCUAUUCAGAUUACAUUACUGGAGAACCAGCAUGGGUUUUUGGCCUUUUAAAAGGCUGUUAUUUUUUCUCCAACAAGUUAUCUCCUAAGUAAAGAUAUUUUGUAAUUUGGAAGAAAAGAUGUGGUCAGAAGUCAUUGUGAUGCGAAAAGUGCAAAAUAAAC
ensembl:lncRNA